CAGCCGCGGGAAAACGAAGGGUGCAAGCGUUAAUCGGAAUUACUGGGCGUAAAGCGUGCGCAGGCGGUUAUAUAAGACGGAUGUGAAAUCCCCGGGCUCAACCUGGGACCUGCAUUUGUGACUGUAUAGCUAGAGUACGGUAGAGGGGGAUGGAAUUCCGCGUGUAGCAGUGAAAUGCGUAGAUAUGCGGAGGAACACCGAUGGCGAAGGCAAUCCCCUGGACCUGUACUGACGCUCAUGCACGAAAGCGUGGGGAGCAAACAGGAUUAGAUACCCCCGUAGUCCCUGUCUCUUAUACACA
rnacentral:rRNA from 1 species